rnacentral:rRNA from 1 species
CUGGCGGCGUGCUUAACACAUGCAAGUCGAACGGAGUUUUAACGGAAGUUUCGGAUGGAAGUUAAAACUUAGUGGCGGACGGGUGAGUAACGCGUGGGUAACCUGCCUCAUACAGGGGGAUAACAGUUAGAAAUGACUGCUAACACCGCAUAAUAUAGCGAAACCGCAUGAUUUUGCUAUCAAAUAUUUAUAGGUAUGAGAUGGGCCCGCGUCUGAUUAGCUAGUUGGUGGGGUAAAAGCCUACCAAGGCGACGAUCAGUAGCCGGCUUGAGAGAGUGACCGGCCACAUUGGGACUGAGACACGGCCCAAACUCCUACGGGAGGCAGCAGUGGGGAAUAUUGGACAAUGGGGGAAACCCUGAUCCAGCGAACCGCCGCGUGAGUGAAGAAGUAUUUCGGUAUGUAAAGCUCUAUCAGCAGGGAAGAUAAUGACAGUACCUGACUAAGAAGCCCCGGCUAACUACGUGCCAGCAGCCGC